AGAACGAACGCUGGCGGCAGGCUUAACACAUGCAAGUCGAGCGCCCAGCAAUGGGAGCGGCGGACGGGUGCGUAACACGUGGGAACAUGCCUUUCGGUACGGAACAACUGCGGGAAACUGCAGCUAAUGCCGUAUACGCCCUUACGGGGAAAGAUUUAUCGCCGAAAGAUUGGCCCGCGUCUGAUUAGCUAGUUGGUGAGGUAACGGCUCACCAAGGCUUCGAUCAGUAGCUGGUUUGAGAGAACGACCAGCCACACUGGGACUGAGACACGGCCCAGACUCCUACGGGAGGCAGCAGUGGGGAAUCUUGGACAAUGGGCGAAAGCCUGAUCCAGCCAUGCCGCGUGAGUGAUGAAGGCCUUCGGGUUGUAAACUCUUUUACCUGGGAAGAUAAUGACUGUACCAGGAGAAUAAGCCCCGGCUAACUUCGUGCCAGCAGCCGC
rnacentral:rRNA from 1 species